rnacentral:lncRNA from 10 species
UGUCUAAACCUUUAACUUUUUGAGGGCAGGGAAUGUGGAUGCCAAUAUCUUAAGAGCUCAGAACAGUGUAUCUUUGUGUCUUUACAGCCUGACACAUUUUUGUUGAAUCAAUUGACAAAAGAACUGACACCAGAUGGCCAAUCAACUCAAGAGAAGGAUUGCUUGGGUUGCUAUGAGGAAGAGGAGGAGUAAGGCCUGAUGUGGAAAGACCUUUGAGAAGAUGUUGAAAUGAGGCAGAGGAGGAGCUAGGCCUGAUGUGGAAAGACCCUUGAGAAGGCUCCUGCAGUGAUCCAGGUGAGAAAUGGUCCAGUGGCAACAUGGGUCAGAGAGGCAGAAGUGGAGAUGGUGACAAGUGAGUAGAUUCUGGAUAUAUUCUGAAGCCAAUAGGAUUUGCUGAUAAAUCAGAUGUGCGUGUGAGAGUCAAAGAUGACUCGAAGAUUCAUGGCAAGGAUAGCAUUGUCAUGCAUGGAGAUGAAGGAAGAGUGUUAAAGAGCACCU